AGCGAGUAGGGGAAUCUUCCACAAUGGGCGAAAGCCUGAUGGAGCAACGCCGCGUGUGUGAUGAAGGGUUUCGGCUCGUAAAACACUGUUGUAAGAGAAGAAUGACAUUGAGAGUAACUGUUCAAUGUGUGACGGUAUCUUACCAGAAAGGAACGGCUAAAUACGUGCCAG
rnacentral:rRNA from 1 species